UACGGAGGAUGCGAGCGUUAUCCGGAUUUAUUGGGUUUAAAGGGUGCGUAGGCGGACGCUUAAGUCAGCGGUAAAAUUUCGGGGCUCAACCUCGUCGAGCCGUUGAAACUGGGUGCCUUGAGUGGGCGAGAAGUACGCGGAAUGCGUGGUGUAGCGGUGAAAUGCAUAGAUAUCACGCAGAACUCCGAUUGCGAAGGCAGCGUACCGGCGCCCAACUGACGCUGAAGCACGAAGGCGUGGGUAUCGAACAGG
rnacentral:rRNA from 1 species